rnacentral:misc_RNA from 1 species
GUUUCAACUAUGACCAUCAAAAGAACAGCAAGUACCAAGUGUGUAUAUAUAUAUAUAGACAUCACAAUCAUGACAUCAAAAUAUGCCAGAUACUGCCUUAGCAUUGAGUUUCUGGGAGAUAUUUUUUAUCCUAUUCCUACUUGUAAAAGGAAAACUCUAGCAACACAAAUAGGUGCUUGUAAUUUUCUCCUUCAUAGUGGAGCAGGCAGGUGGCUGUUCAUAGGCACAUAGGUACAAUGGCACACAGGCACAAUGGCACACAGCCGAACCACACAAAAUUCAAUGUGUAGCAUUUUUCUCCUGUCUGUGAUCAUUAUUCUAAUUUGCAAGUGCUAGUGUUACAUGGUCAAUUUUUUCAACACUUUUCUCCAUAUAUCAUCAGUCGCUAUUUCAUAGAAUCCACAAUUCUGGAAGAUAACAUGGUAAAAUUCUCUAUGAACGUUACUAAAAACAUGCAGCAAAGGUAAAUAUCAAGUGUGGAACAUACAAAAUAGUAUUAAUACUAAAUGUCAAUCAUAAUAUUAAUACUAAAUGUCACUCAUUUUUGGUCCAACCAGAUAAAUAAGACAGAUGAGGACACUUGUGAUCUCUAUAUUUAAUUGUCCAACUGCAUAUCUUAUUUCAAGGGCAUGACGCAAAGAUGCCAUGUAAGAUGAUUUGCAAGUACAUCAAAAAGCAGUGAUAUGUUAGAAAUACUAAUGAUAUAAUAAUACACUCUGCAAACAAAAAAUAUUAUAGAUAAAAUGAAUGUAAGCCAAACUAUUUGCCUACAUUUCCUUCAAGUUCCUGCAAG